GAAUGAGUUAGGGAGAAUUGCUUUCCUUUCAAUACCAUUGAAGAGUUUGAGGAAUAUUGAUAUUAAAUCUUCUCUAACUUUCUUGUAGAAUUCAGCCAUGAAUCCAUCAGGACCUGGGCUUUUCUUUGUUGUGAAUGUCAUGUGUUCAGCUGAGAAGACUGUGUAUACUGAUGUUGGAUGGAACAUACUGUAAACAUCUACUAAGUCCAUGUGUGCACAGCAUUUAUUGGGAUGUCAUUACGUCAGGCUCUUUAUCAGAUGAGUUUCUGAAUCUCUGCCCUGAGGAGCUCAGAAAAGAAAACAACACGUGAUAUAUCUGCUCCGUGCUGGGGUUGAAGAAGAUGGUGAAGCCUGACUGCUUCUGGGUGGGGUGGAAAGCGGAAAUGGGAAGCAUUGUGUUUUCAGCUUUCUCUGUGUCUGUCUUCUCAGUUGGUUAUGGAAUCUAUAUGUUGACCAAAUGUGCUAAAAGCUGAGUUAGAACACUAUUUUCUCAUAAAAUAAAUCCUGAACGAAUUGUGAUUCUGUAGUCUUCCUCAAAAAAAAAAAAAAAAAAA